rnacentral:rRNA from 1 species
UACGAAGGGGGCUAGCGUUGCUCGUAAUCACUGGGCGUAAAGCGCACGUAGGCGGACUCUUAAGUCGGUGGUGAAAUCCUGGAGCUCAACUCCAGAACUGCCUUCGAUACUGAGAGUCUCGAGUCCGAGAGAGGUGAGUGGAACUGCGAGUGUAGAGGUGAAAUUCGUAGAUAUUCGCAAGAACACCAGUGGCGAAGGCGGCUCACUGGCUCGGUACUGACGCUGAGGUGCGAAAGCGUGGGGAGCAAACAGG